CGGCUACGUCAUGUUGAAACACCGGUUCCCGGACGAUCACUGAAGUUAAGCAACGUAGAGUCUGAUCAGUCUCUAGAUGAGUGACCGCUUAGGAAUACCAGGUACAGU